rnacentral:rRNA from 1 species
AGUGAACGCUGGCGGUAGGCCUAACACAUGCAAGUCGAACGGCAGCACAGGAGAGCUUGCUCUCUGGGUGGCGAGUGGCGGACGGGUGAGGAAUACAUCGGAAUCUACUCUGUCGUGGGGGAUAACGUAGGGAAACUUACGCUAAUACCGCAUACGACCUACGGGUGAAAGCAGGGGACCUUCGGGCCUUGCGCGAUUGAAUGAGCCGAUGUCAGAUUAGCUAGUUGGCGGGGUAAAGGCCCACCAAGGCGACGAUCCGUAGCUGGUCUGAGAGAAUGAUCAGCCACACGGGAACUGAGACACGGUCCAGACUCCUACGGGAGGCAGCAGUGGGGAAUAUUGGACAAUGGGCGCAAGCCUGAUCCAGCCAUACCGCGUGGGUGAAGAAGGCCUUCGGGUUGUAAAGCCCUUUUGUUGGGAAAGAAAUCCAGCUGGCUAAUACCCGGUUGGGAUGACGGUACCCAAAGAAUAAGCACCGGCUAACUUCGUGCCAGCCGCCGCCGUAA